rnacentral:rRNA from 1 species
CUGCGAGCGUGACGGCGCGAGCAGGUGCGAAAGCAGGUCAUAGUGAUCCGGUGGUUCUGAAUGGAAGGGCCAUCGCUCAACGGAUAAAAGGUACUCCGGGGAUAACAGGCUGAUACCGCCCAAGAGUUCAUAUCGACGGCGGUGUUUGGCACCUCGAUGUCGGCUCAUCACAUCCUGGGGCUGAAGUAGGUCCCAAGGGUAUGGCUGUUCGCCAUUUAAAGUGGUACGCGAGCUGGGUUUAGAACGUCGUGAGACAGUUCGGUCCCUAUCUGCCGUGGGCGCUGGAGAACUGAGGGGGGCUGCUCCUAGUACGAGAGGACCGGAGUGGACGCAUCACUGGUGUUCGGGUUGUCAUGCCAAUGGCACUGCCCGGUAGCUAAAUGCGGAAGAGAUAAGUGCUGAAAGCAUCUAAGCACGAAACUUGCCCCGAG